rnacentral:rRNA from 1 species
UACGAAGGGGGCUAGCGUUGCUCGGAAUCACUGGGCGUAAAGGGUGCGUAGGCGGGUCUUUAAGUCAGAGGUGAAAUCCUGGAGCUCAACUCCAGAACUGCCUUUGAUACUGAAGAUCUUGAGUUCGGGGAGAGGUGAGUGGAACUGGCGAGUGUAGAGGUGAAAUUCGUAGAUAUUCGGAAGAACACCAGUGGCGAAGGCGACUGACUGGACAAGUAUUGACGCUGGAGGUGCGAAAGCGUGGGGAGCAAACAGG